rnacentral:rRNA from 1 species
CGGCAGCACGGGGGCAACCCUGGUGGCGAGUGGCGAACGGGUGAGUAACACAUCGGAACGUGUCCUUGAGUGGGGGAUAACCUUGGCGAAAGCCAGGCUAAUACCGCAUACGCUCGAGAGAGGAAAGCGGGGGACCUGCAAGGGCCUCGCGCUGGAGGAGCGGCCGAUGUCCGAUUAGCUAGUUGGUGGGGUAAAGGCCCMCCAAGGCGACGAUCGGUAGCUGGUCUGAGAGGAUGACCAGCCACACUGGGACUGAGACACGGCCCAGACUCCUACGGGAGGCAGCAGUGGGGAAUUUUGGACAAUGGGGGCAACCCUGAUCCAGCCAUGCCGCGUGAGUGAAGAAGGCCUUCGGGUUGUAAAGCUCUUUCGGUGGGAACGAAACGGGCACGGCUAAUACCCGUGUUCAAUGACGGUACUCACAGAAGAAGCACCGGCUAACUACGUGCCAGCAGCCGCGGUAAUACGUAGGGUGCGAGCGUUAAUCGGAAUUACUGGGCGUAAAGCGUGCGUAGGCGGUUACACAAGCUUGAUGUGAAAGCCCCGGGCUUAACCUGGGAAUGGCAUUGAGGACUGUGUGGCUUGAGUGCGGCAGAGGGAGGUGGAAUUCCAGGUGUAGCAGUGAAAUGCGUAGAGAUCU